rnacentral:rRNA from 1 species
AGUCGAGGGGUAACAUUGUAGCUUGCUACAGAUGACGACCGGCGCACGGGUGCGUAACGCGUAUGAAACCUACCUAAUACAGAGGGAUAGCCCAGAGAAAUUUGGAUUAAUACCUCAUAGUACUGUUGAAUCGCAUGGUUCAAUAGUUAAAGAUUUAUCGGUAUUAGAUGGUCAUGCGUUCUAUUAGUUAGUUGGUAAGGUAACGGCUUACCAAGACAUCGAUAGAUAGGGGCCCUGAGAGGGGGAUCCCCCACACUGGUACUGAGACACGGACCAGACUCCUACGGGAGGCAGCAGUGAGGAAUAUUGGACAAUGGAGGCAACUCUGAUCCAGCCAUGCCGCGUGAAGGAAGACUGCCCUAUGGGUUGUAAACUUCUUUUAUAGAGGAAGAAACGCAGAUACGUGUAUUUGUUUGACGGUACUCUACGAAUAAGGAUCGGCUAACUCCGUGCCAGCAGCCGCGGUAAUACGGAGGAUCCAAGCGUUAUCCGGAAUCAUUGGGUUUAAAGGGUCCGCAGGCUGUUGUUUAAGUCAGAGGUGAAAGUUUGCAGCUUAACUGUAAAAUUGCCUUUGAUACUGGAUGACUUGAGUUAUAAUGAAGUGGUUAGAAUAUGUAGUGUAGCGGUGAAAUGCAUAGAUAUUACAUAGAAUACCGAUUGCGAAGGCAGAUCACUAAUUAUAUACUGACGCUGAGGGACGAAAGCGUGGGGAGCGAACAGGAUUAGAUACCCUGGUAGUCCACGCCGUAAACGAUGGUUACUAGCUGUUUGGACUUCCG